rnacentral:rRNA from 1 species
GACGAACGCUGGCGGCGUGCUUGACACAUGCAAGUCGAACGAUGAACCCGGAGCUUGCUCCGGCGGAUUAGUGGCGAACGGGUGAGUAACACGUGAGUAACCUGCCCUUGACUCUGGGAUAACUGCUAGAAAUGGUAGCUAAUACCGGAUACGACCCUCGGUGGCAUCACCAGGGGGUGGAAAGAAUUUCGGUCAAGGAUGGACUCGCGGCCUAUCAGCUAGUUGGUGAGGUAACGGCUCACCAAGGCGACGACGGGUAGCCGGCCUGAGAGGGUGACCGGCCACACUGGGACUGAGACACGGCCCAGACUCCUACGGGAGGCAGCAGUGGGGAAUAUUGCACAAUGGGCGCAAGCCUGAUGCAGCAACGCCGCGUGAGGGAUGACGGCCUUCGGGUUGUAAACCUCUUUUAGUAGGGAAGAAGCGAAAGUGACGGUACCUACAGAAGAAGGACCGGCCAACUACGUGCCAGCAGCCGCGGUAA